rnacentral:tRNA from 1 species
GCCACCUUAGCUCAGUUGGCUAGAGCAACGGUUUUGUAACCCGUAGGUCCCCGGUUCGAGCCCGGGAGGUGGCU